AUGAACGCUAGCUACAGGCUUAACACAUGCAAGUCGAGGGGCAUCAGGAAGAAAGCUUGCUUUCUUUGCUGGCGACCGGCGCACGGGUGAGUAACACGUAUCCAACCUGCCCUUUACUCGGGGAUAGCCUUUCGAAAGAAAGAUUAAUACCCGAUGGCAUAAUGAUUCCGCAUGGUUUCAUUAUUAAAGGAUUCCGGUAAAGGAUGGGGAUGCGUUCCAUUAGGUUGUUGGUGAGGUAACGGCUCACCAAGCCUUCGAUGGAUAGGGGUUCUGAGAGGAAGGUCCCCCACAUUGGAACUGAGACACGGUCCAAACUCCUACGGGAGGCAGCAGUGAGGAAUAUUGGUCAAUGGGCGCUAGCCUGAACCAGCCAAGUAGCGUGAAGGAUGAAGGCUCUAUGGGUCGUAAACUUCUUUUAUAUAAGAAUAAAGUGCAGUAUGUAUACUGUUUUGUAUGUAUUAUAUGAAUAAGGAUCGGCUAACUCCGUGCCAGCAGCCGCGGUAAUACGGAGGAUCCAAGCGUUAUCCGGAUUUAUUGGGUUUAAAGGGAGCGUAGGUGGACUGGUAAGUCAGUUGUGAAAGUUUGCGGCUCAACCGUAAAAUUGCAGUUGAUACUGUCAGUCUUGAGUACAGUAGAGGUGGGCGGAAUUCGUGGUGUAGCGGUGAAAUGCUUAGAUAUCACGAAGAACUCCGAUUGCGAAGGCAGCUCACUGGACUGCAACUGACACUGAUGCUCGAAAGUGUGGGUAUCAAACAGGAUUAGAUACCCUGGUAGUCCACACAGUAAACGAUGAAUACUCGCUGUUUGCGAUAUACAGUAAGCGGCCAAGCGAAAGCAUUAAGUAUUCCACCUGGGGAGUACGCCGGCAACGGUGAAACUCAAAGGAAUUGACGGGGGCCCGCACAAGCGGAGGAACAUGUGGUUUAAUUCGAUGAUACGCGAGGAACCUUACCCGGGCUUAAAUUGCAGUGGAAUGAUGUGGAAACAUGUCAGUGAGCAAUCACCGCUGUGAAGGUGCUGCAUGGUUGUCGUCAGCUCGUGCCGUGAGGUGUCGGCUUAAGUGCCAUAACGAGCGCAACCCUUAUCUUUAGUUACUAACAGGUUAUGCUGAGGACUCUAGAGAGACUGCCGUCGUAAGAUGUGAGGAAGGUGGGGAUGACGUCAAAUCAGCACGGCCCUUACGUCCGGGGCUACACACGUGUUACAAUGGGGGGUACAGAAGGCAGCUAGCGGGUGACCGUAUGCUAAUCCCAAAAGCCUCUCUCAGUUCGGAUCGAAGUCUGCAACCCGACUUCGUGAAGCUGGAUUCGCUAGUAAUCGCGCAUCAGCCACGGCGCGGUGAAUACGUUCCCGGGCCUUGUACACACCGCCCGUCAAGCCAUGGGAGCCGGGGGUACCUGAAGUACGUAACCGCAAGGAUCGUCCUAGGGUAAAACU
rnacentral:rRNA from 1 species